rnacentral:ncRNA from 1 species
AAUGCAUUGGGGAGGAUGCUACUUAAGUGUUUACAUUCCAUUUUUAUGUAAAAAAGUUUUAUUUUAACUUAAAAAUUGAUUAGUAUAAUUUAUUAUAUGUAAAAUAUAUUUAAUAAAAAUUUACAGUAAUUAAAUUUAAUUAUUAAAGAAAUUUAGAAUUAGGAAAUAUAUUUAAUAUUAACAAAAUUUGUGCCAGCAGUUGCGGUUAUACAAAUAAUAUAAAUUAAUUUUAUUAAUAUUAGUUAAUUAAAUUUUUAAUUUUUAAAAAAAAUUUAUUAAGUGAAAUUUUAAAUUUUUAAAAAAUUAGAUUAUUUAAAUGAAGUUAAAAAAAUUUUUAUAAAAACUAGGAUUAGAUACCCUAUUAUAGAAAAGUAAGUUUUUUAUUAAAUUAGUAAAAGUUAUGUUCUUAAAAAUUAAAAAUUUUGGCGGUAUUUUAGUCUAUUCAGAGGAACCUGUUAUGUAAAUGAUAAUCCACGAUUUAAUUUACUUUUUUUUUUAGUUUAUAUAUCAUCGUAAUUAAAUAUUUUUUUAGGAUUUAAAUAUUUAAGAUUUUAUAUUAAAAAAUUAAUCAGAUCAAGGUGUAGCUUAUAAAAAAGUAUAAAUGGGUUACAAUUAAUUUAUUAUUUAAUUAUUAUUAGUAUUAUUAAUAUGAAUUUGGAUUUGAUAGUAAAAUUAAUUAAUUAAUUAAUUUGAUUAAGCUCUAAAAUAUGUACAUAUCGCCCGUCACUUUCAUUAAUAUGAAAUAAGUCGUAACAAAGUAGAUUUACUGGAAAGUGAAUCUAGAUU